rnacentral:rRNA from 1 species
UGGGGAAUAUUGCACAAUGGGCGCAAGCCUGAUGCAGCCAUGCCGCGUGUGUGAAGAAGGCCUUCGGGUUGUAAAGCACUUUCAGCGAGGAGGAAGGUGGUGAACUUAAUACGUUCAUCAAUUGACGUUACUCGCAGAAGAAGCACCGGCUAACUCCGUGCCAGCAGCCGCGGUAAUACGGAGGGUGCAAGCGUUAAUCGGAAUUACUGGGCGUAAAGCGCACGCAGGCGGUUUGUUAAGUCAGAUGUGAAAUCCCCGGGCUCAACCUGGGAACUGCAUUUGAAACUGGCAAGCUAGAGUCUCGUAGAGGGGGUAGAAUUCCAGGUGGUAGCGGUGAAAUGCGUAGAGAUCUGGAGGAAUACCGGUGGCGAAGGCGGCCCCCUGGACGAAGACUGACCGCUCAGGUGCGAAAGCGUGGGGAGCAAACAGUUAGNUACCCUGGUAGUCACGCCU